rnacentral:rRNA from 1 species
GCAAGUCGAACGGCAGCACGGGAGCAAUCCUGGUGGCGAGUGGCGAACGGGUGAGUAAUAUAUCGGAACGUGCCCAGUCGUGGGGGAUAACGCAGCGAAAGCUGUGCUAAUACCGCAUACGAUCUCUGGAUGAAAGCGGGGGACUCGCAAGAGCCUCGCGCGAUUGGAGCGGCCGAUAUCAGAUUAGCUAGUUGGCGGGGUAAAGGCCCACCAAGGCGACGAUCUGUAGCUGGUCUGAGAGGACGACCAGCCACACUGGAACUGAGACACGGUCCAGACUCCUACGGGAGGCAGCAGUGGGGAAUUUUGGACAAUGGGCGCAAGCCUGAUCCAGCAAUGCCGCGUGCAGGAUGAAGGCCUUCGGGUUGUAAACUGCUUUUGUACGGAACGAAACGGCGAGCUCUAAUAAAGCUUGCUAAUGACGGUACCGUAAGAAUAAGCACCGGCUAACUACGUGCCAGCAGCCGCGGUAAUACGUAGGGUGCGAGCGUUAAUCGGAAUUACUGGGCGUAAAGCGUGCGCAGGCGGUUAUAUAAGACAGAUGUGAAAUCCCCGGGCUCAACCUGGGACCUGCAUUUGUGACUGUAUAGCUAGAGUACGGUAGAGGGGGAUGGAAUUCCGCGUGUAGCAGUGAAAUGCGUAGAUAUGCGGAGGAACACCGAUGGCGAAGGCAAUCCCCUGGACCUGUACUGACGCUCAUGCACGAAAGCGUGGGGAGCAAACAGGAUUAGAUACCCUGGUAGUCCACGCCCUAAACGAUGUCAACUGGUUGUUGGGUCUUCACUGACUCAGUAACGAAGCUAACGCGUGAAGUUGACCGCCUGGGGAGUACGGCCGCAAGGUUGAAAC